AGGGUUCGAUUCUGGCUCAGGAUGAACGCUAGCUACAGGCUUAACACAUGCAAGUCAGGGGCAGCAUGGUCUUAGCUUGCUAAGGCCGAUGGCGACCGGCGCACGGGUGAGUAACGCGUAUCCAACCUUCCCCUUAGUAGGGCAUAGCCCGUAGAAAUGCGGAUUAAUACCCUAUGUUGUCAGUAGAGGACAUCUGAAGUUGACCAAAGGUUCACCGCUAAGGGAUGGGGAUGCGUCCGAUUAGGCAGUCGGCGGGGUAACGGCCCACCGAGCCGUCGAUCGGUAGGGGUUCUGAGAGGAAGGUCCCCCACACUGGUACUGAGACACGGACCAGACUCCUACGGGAGGCAGCAGUGAGGAAUAUUGGUCAAUGGGCGUAAGCCUGAACCAGCCAAGUAGCGUGCAGGACGACGGCCCUACGGGUUGUAAACUGCUUUUAUGCGGGGAUAACCGGCGCCACGCGUGGCGCCCUGCAGGUACCGCAUGAAUAAGGACCGGCUAAUUCCGUGCCAGCAGCCGC
rnacentral:rRNA from 1 species